UACGUAGGGGGCAAGCGUUGUCCGGAUUUAUUGGGCGUAAAGAGCGUGUAGGCGGCCUGACAGGUCAGCUGUGAAAACUCGAGGCUCAACCUCGAGACGUCGGUUGAAACCAUCUGGCUAGAGUCCGGAAGAGGAGUGUGGAAUUCCCGGUGUAGCGGUGAAAUGCGCAGAUAUCGGGAAGAACACCCGUGGCGAAGGCGGCACGCUGGGACGGUACUGACGCUGAGACGCGAAAGCGUGGGGAGCGAACAGG
rnacentral:rRNA from 1 species